rnacentral:rRNA from 1 species
CACGAAUACUAAAUGAGCUAUAUCUUUAUUGUUUAGAACCCAUAUAUUAUUGUUUCAUUAAUAUAUAAAAAUAAAGAUUUUGAAGCUAAAUACUAUUCGCAUUAGUAUAUAUCUUGUUUCUAUUGAAAUUUAUCUAUUAAAUAAAUUAAAAAUGUUAUAAAUUAUAGGUAAUAAGAUCUAUAAUUCUACUCAAUAGUUUUAUUAUUAUAAAUAGUAUGCUUAAAAUCAGCUUUCAUAAAGUACUUAAUAGUAUUAAUAUUAUAAAAUUAAUAAAUUUUUUAUGAGUCAUUUAAAUAGAAUUAUAUUGUAACUGUUAUUAAUAAAUUUAAUAUGUAAAUAUUAGUAAUAUAUUAAAAUUAAAUAAAGGAAUUCGGCAAAUUUAUAUUUCAACUGUUUAACAAAAACAUUUCUCGAAGAUAAAAUAUUUUGAGUAUGCCCUGCCCAAUGAUUAUUAAAUGGCCGCGAUACAUUAAUCGUGCAAAGGUAGCAUAAUAAUUUGUUUAUUAAUUGUAAACUAGUAUGAAAGGGUAAAUGAAAUUAUAACUGUCUCUAUUUUUUUUUAUUGAAAUUAAUUUUUAGGUGAAGAAGCCUAGAUUUUAUUAUAAGACAAGAAGACCCUAUAAAGCUUUACUUAUUUUAUAAAAUACAUUAUAAAUUUAGUUUGAUUGGGGCGAUCAUUGAUUUAAUAAACAUCAAAUUUAUUUUAUGAUUUAACUAUCUUUUUUAGAUCCUAGAUUGAUCAAUUGAUUAAGUUACUUUAGGGAUAACAGGCUAAUAUUAUACGAGAGUUCAUAUCGACUAUAAAGUUUGGCACCUCGAUGUUGACUUAGGAUUCCUUUAAGGCGCAGCUGUUUUAUAAGGUGGUUUGUUCAACCAAUAAUUUCCUACAUGAGUUGAGUUCAGACCGGCGUAAGCCAGGUUAGAUUCUAUCUAUAAUAAUUUAUAAUAAUAGUAUUUAUUGUACGAAAGGACUUAAAUA